GGCAAUUUGCAAUUCUACACGGUGUGUAGAUUUGUAUGGUGACAGUAAAUGCAUCAUCUUAUAUCGGUGUUAUGUCAACAUUUUUAUUUACAGUAUUAACUGUAGCAGAGACAGUGAAGACAUCUUAUCAUAUCUGUGUUAUCUAUAUUAUGUUGCUUAAGGAUAAUGGGAAGAUAAUGGAAAACGUUCAGCAUUGGUGACCAAUGAAUAUUUUAUUAAUGUACUGAAGAGACACAUCCAUAUUCACACCAAGCUAUCUUCAGUAUAGUGUGGUUGAUGUCCAGGGCUUUUUAUGACUCAUUUGUUAACAUUCAGCCUGUGAUCGUACACAGAGUGGGCGAAGAGUUAUUUGUAGUUGUGUAAAACUCAUCCACACCCAAGAAAACCUGAAAUAUGUCUUUGAGUCACUGCACAAGUUACACAACAGCUAACGCCAGUGAGCCAGUAGUUCUGUUGUGUAACAUUUCAUGUCCAGGUUAAAAAGACUAUGUUACAAGUGUCAAAAGUGACAAGCGUCACCAGUUACACCUGUGUAUAAAUAACUGAUCAAACUUUUUCUGUUGCUCUCUAUUCAGUUGCACCAAGUAGAUCUGAUGGGCAUCACAAUCAAGUCACUGGCUGAGAUUGAAAAGGAGUAUGAUUACAGUUUCCGUACAGAGCACAGUGCGGCGGCCCGCCUGCCCCCCAGUCCGACACGGACCGCCCAAAGCUCAGACGCAUGAGGAGACCUAUCGACGACCCCGCUCCCUUUCACACUCCACUCUACAAACUAGUGGGAGAGACUCAAACACUACUGAACUGCCUACAGUGAACUACGAGCCCUCCCCAUCUCUGCCUCCCUGCAACUGUGGUGCCCCCCCCCAAAAAACAAAUUAACAAGAAGAACAUCAGAACUUCUUUCUGUCUGCAUUAAGUGUUUUAAUAGAAACAGACUGAGAAAGAGACUAGCAGAAAUGAAAUGAGAGCGGACGACUUUAAAAUAACAUUGAACCUUUUUUUCCUUCUUCAUGGAUAAGUAAAAAUAAACUUUGCACCACAGCCCCUGUGAAGGACUUGUGAACAACAAGAUCAAGGGACCUGCUGUUGUGAAGGAUGGCAUCCAUCAGACUUCUGCUGUCAGGAAUGGACACACCCUGAGGGCAGAAGAAACUUUCUUUACACCCACACACACACACCUAUUCCUACAGCGCUGCUGUGAACUAGGCACCUCCCACUUCACAUCACUUCAAGAUUUUCUUCAAGCUCAUACUGACUGGCCUCAUGGGCAACAGUCUCACUGUUCUCUUUACGUUACUGUGAUAUGCUUAAGUGUAAAAAGAAAAAGUGUGUGCACUUUUUAUUUGGACGUGUCCAUGUGCUUCCAGUUACCAGAUAUUAUUCUGCAAACCACUCCCUCACUGUUGGCAGCUGAGCUGAUAUAAAACCACUUGUUUUAAAGUUAAGGGGACAGGUUUUUGUUGUUGUUGUUGUUGUUGUUUUUUAUCUUUAUACACAGACAAGACACCAGAGCCAGUUUCAGACAUGGAGGCCAGUCUUGUGAACCACAUGGCUGCCAGCUAGAAAAGACAAAAACGGGACAAAAGUCCAAGGUGGACAUCUAAAACACAAGAGUUGAUCUGCAGCAACCUCUGCCCGUGAAUUCAAAUGUGGUACUUGUGAGUUCUCUGUUUGCAGUUCCAAAGGGAGGAGGCGAUGGUCUAGUGUUAGGGUUAAAUAAAAUCUACUUAUCCAACCCCAGGGUUAAGCCUAAGUUAAAAUAUUGGCUAACAUUACAUGCCGUUGUUAAUUAAGUUUUGUUUCAUGGGUUUAAGCAAAUGUAAAGGUUAUUGACUCUUUAGCUAAUUACAUCUUCAACUGUUUCCUGCUGCCUUGUGUUUCCCUAGGUGUAACAUUACAGUUAAUAAUGUGGCUUUGGUGUGUGGUCAAAAACUCUGCAAACUGAAGCUGGUGGGGAUUUUAAUAACGGUAACUAUGUUUAGGGUGAGCCAGGGUGAGCGCCUGAGCUGGUUUUUAGCUGAACUGUAACACGUCCAGUCACACUUCUGGUGUUUUUAUGGUCUUUGUUGGUUCAUAGGAAAAUACUCUUGUCUUCUAUCCCCAGUACAUACGUACAAGUAUUUCUGCAAUAUUUUAAAGGCAUCAAUGCAUGGAUUAACACCUUUUACCUAAUAUUUUUUGAUUAAUGUAUUAGUCAUCGCAGUAUUGUGACAAUGUCUCAAAGGCUUUGUUGUUUUUCACCAGUGUAACCUAUAUAGUUGUUUGGAGUGUAAAGUAAAAAUGCUUAUUUGCAAUUUGUUUGUGUGUACAACUGUGUGUUUGAGCUGACCGCAUCAGAUUCUUUUCUUUUUUUUUUUAGCUCCACAUGUGUCUUAACAGGUUGUAUCUAACUAUCAUUGUCUGCACUGACGUAGAAUUGAACACUUCUGCUUUCACCGCUCAUAGUUAGCAUGCUAGAGGUGACGGGGUGUUUAGGACUGUUAUUAUUUUGUUUAUGUUGUUGAUCAAAAGUCAAAAGUUUUCCUCAAGAAUGGAUCAUUUUCACUGAAGAACGAACAAACAAGCAUCUGUUAACUUUAUAUCUUUAAGACACUUUAUUAAACUGCAUUGAAACCUAAAUGGAAUCUUUAAUUUAAUAUUUUGGUCAAAGCAGUGUUAAAGUAUGAGAGCCUUAGCUUUUUUUUUUUCCAAGUCAGUUAAACUACUGACUUAAACUUGACUCAAAUGUCUUCUGUGACAAGACAUGAAAACCUGGGAGUUAAGACUCGGACACUGUGACUCUAACUGAAACGGUAACAGCUCAAUUCAGACUUCACUCUAUUUUCUUCAGUGACUUGGACACUAGACUGCAUGACACAAUACAGCAGUAAACAAAGAUUAAGUAAUACUAGAGCAAAACACUUUCUUAUUUUUAAAUGACCAAUCUAAUCGUUUUAAUGGAUGAAAAAAAAAUAAAACAACUGAAAACAAUUCAAGCCAAAAGAGUCAAGCCAAGCUCCCGGGCCACCCCUGGUUUAUAAAGCUUGUUUCUGGUGUGUGACAAAAACUUCUAAGACAGAGUGAGUCCCACAGCACCCUCUGCCCUGGAACAGUGCAUCAUAUCCAGCCUAUGCACUUCCACAUUGGUAUAAUGCUACCUUCCAGCUCAUCAUACAUUAAUGGUAACGCAACAUCAAGGAGUAUCAGUAUUGAUAAUUGUUAUCGGCGGGACGACCCUAAUAGUAAUGUUUCGAUGUAGCGUAUGUUAUUUGUAGUGACUAACGCUUGAGGAGUUUAUUAUUUCACUUAUUGCAGUACCUUUGAUGUAUUUGAUGUUUCGUGUCUGUCAAUCCUACAGUCCACAUCUAACCUGCACCAACAGAAGGAGACGAUGGCCAGGGCCUGCAGUUUAACAAGGUCCUCAGCGCUAGUUUACAGCGUAGUCUGGAGACCCUGAUGCCGGGAUCCGCUAAUGUGGAACAUGCAGUUUCAUUACCCAGAGUUGUUUGUGUUUUAUACCACAACUGUUGCCAAAUUUUUCACGACCUCUGUCAAUGCUCAGACACAUCACAGGGAUUGGUAUAAAAAUGUGUUCACACAUACGUCAGCUGUUGAGAGUUUCCUACGAAAAGCAAAACCAAAACAAAGUGUUUUCACAGUGUUUUGGUUGUUUUAAUAAAAAGUCCACAGUAAAAUUAAAAGUAAUUAGAGAUAGACUGUGUGUGGCACGUCUCCUCAAAGAGUCCAUCGUGCUCUUUCAUCUGCAUGUGUACAUGUGUUGGUAUGAUGUUUACAGAGAGUGAACGCCUACAUCAAACAAGCUGUUGGCCUCCAUGUUCCAAAGACAACAACUUACUCCACGUCGUUACUGCUUUGCUGCUUCCUUUGAAUUUUCAUACAGUUAUAGACAAUUGUACUAAAUAAAUAACCUAAAAUUUUACCAGGACACGUGUCUCAUUAGCAAACUAAUAAUAUGCUUACAUUACAUGAAUAAAUCAUAAUUAUGUUCAUUAACUGCUCCAUUCUUGUUUGUUGUAGAUGACACAAAGAAAAAUUCAGAUGGGUUAAAUUCAUUCAUGGCAAUACAUAAAGAAUGAGGUCCAUCAAACCAGAGGCUCUAUCGUUAGCUAGCGAAAAAGUCUGGACCGUUGAGACUUUAGCGAGUAAAUACUCUGGCAAACUUCAUAGCGGGGAGAAACCACCGACUGAGAGAACUGCCCCGCUUACAGAGAUUCAGGAAAGAAAACAAUGACCAUAGAGUGACAAUGAAAAUGGAGAAGACUUUCUUGUACAGAAGGCAAGAAGUAAUUCAAGGACAUCCAUUGAUAGCAGACUUGCAAAGCAGAUGGACUCUGUUCACUCAGUGCAGAUCGACAAGGAAUUCCUGCAC